GAUGAACGCUGGCGGCGUGCCUAAUACAUGCAAGUCGAGCGAACGGACGAGAAGCUUGCUUCUCUGGUGUUAGCGGCGGACGGGUGAGUAACACGUGGAUAACCUACCUAUAAGACUGGGAUAACUUCGGGAAACCGGAGCUAAUACCGGAUGAUAUUUUGAACCGCAUGGUUCAAAAGUGAAAGACGGUCUUGCUGUCACUUAUAGAUGGAUCCGCGCUGCAUUAGCUAGUUGGUAAGGUAACGGCUUACCAAGGCAACGAUGCAUAGCCGACCUGAGAGGGUGAUCGGCCACACUGGAACUGAGACACGGUCCAGACUCCUACGGGAGGCAGCAGUAGGGAAUCUUCCGCAAUGGGCGAAAGCCUGACGGAGCAACGCCGCGUGAGUGAUGAAGGUCUUCGGAUCGUAAAACUCUGUUAUUAGGGAAGAACAUAUGUGUAAGUAACUGUGCACAUCUUGACGGUACCUAAUCAGAGAGCCACGGCUAACUACGUG
rnacentral:rRNA from 1 species